AUUGAACGCUGGCGGCAGGCCUAACACAUGCAAGUCGAGCGGAUGAGUGGAGCUUGCUCCAUGAUUCAGCGGCGGACGGGUGAGUAAUGCCUAGGAAUCUGCCUGGUAGUGGGGGACAACGUUUCGAAAGGAACGCUAAUACCGCAUACGUCCUACGGGAGAAAGCAGGGGACCUUCUGGACUUGCGCUAUCAGAUGAGCCUAGGUCGGAUUAGAUAGUGGGUGAGGUAAUGGCUCACCUAGGCGCCGAUCGGUAACUGGUCUGAGAGGAUGAUCAGUCACACUGGAACUGAGACACGGUCCAGACUCCUACGGGAGGCAGCAGUGGGGAAUAUUGGACAAUGGGCGAAAGCCUGAUCCAGCCAUGCCGCGUGUGUGAAGAAGGUCUUCGGAUUGUAAAGCACUUUAAGUUGGGAGGAAGGGCAGUAAGUUAAUACCUUGCUGUUUUGACGUUACCAACAGAAUAAGCACCGGCUAACUUCGUGCCAGCAGCCGCCGUAAAAC
rnacentral:rRNA from 1 species